CACGGUAUUGCGUAGGUGGCUGUGUCUCAAUAUAGUCGAUUUAUUCAAGGGGAAGGGCGAUUUAUGUCUUGUGAUUUAGGAAUUUCAACGAAGUUGUGUUGCUACGUCGCUGAUAGAACGCUCGAUCGAGUUUCUGGACUUUUUCCACGGUUUGAAUAUUGUGCAUCUACAUUCACAUCAACGCUGUUCCAAUGGAAAUAAUUGGUUGAUAAUGCGGCGUAGAUGCGGCGCAUGUAAUUGGAUAUUAAAUUGAUAACGUCACUGUCUUUCUCCGGAGCGAUUCUCUUACGCCCUCCAGGGACCGAAAGUUGGAUACGGUUUCCCGGACGACAUAAUGCAAUUUCGUCCGCAGCUUUCUCGCAGAUACAUAUCGCAGAUACAUCCGGGACACCGUGCGUCGCGACACGACGACAACGGUUUCGUACUCGCAUAAUAAGUACGAUGAAAGUAGACUGGAGAGUGGAUUAAUUGCGUCAUCCGGACGGGAAUAUCAAAAUUACAGUUUGCAAAAUCUUAGAUGGUAGAUAGGUAGGAAUGAAGGACAACGUUGCGUCAUCUCUCGUGGUAAGAUGAAGGAAAUCUCGAGUGCGACCUUUACGGAAUUAAUUAAUCAACGCUUCGCGCUAAAUGUCGCUGUCCUUUACAGGACGACGACAGUUUGUUCGGUCAGUGCUCCGCAAAGUUAAUUGGCUUCUAUCGUGACGUAAAUAGCCAUUUGCCGUUAUCAUUAAAUCGCGAAUUUAUCAUGGGCACUAUCAUGUUACUCGCCUCGUACGACUCGCAAAUGGGCCGCUAGUUUUAUUGUCGCGCCAGAAACCUUCAUACCCGCCCGAGAUUUUGAUGAAACUCCACGGGAGGGUAAUUCAAUUUUAGACGGUCACGAAUUAGAGGAAUUUUUAAACACCUCCUUAAAUAGGCUGAAGCGUGUGGUUACCGCAUUUUUAAAUACCUCCAUAAACAUACAGAAAUGUGUGUGGUUACCUUACCGCGAUACAUUUAAUUCUCAACUCGUAAAAUAUAAUGUUGGUUUAAUAAAUUAGUCAUAAUUUACAUCUCCUGAAUAUAUUA